rnacentral:lncRNA from 1 species
CUUCAUAUACUUCAUUCACUGUGCAUUAUCUUGCAACUCCUGUUAUCCAUGCCGACAACUUGCCAUAUGUGCAAAAAGCAUUAAAAUCUCUCCAUAAAUCCAAUCACACAAGUGAAACAUGCCAUUAUUACCCUCUCAUGGGAUUUCUACAAUAUAAACAAACAAAAGCAAACAUGAUUUACCUCCAGCAAACAUGAUUUACUAUGACUAAUUUUCGGAUAACUAAGAGAUAUUAGGUAAAACAGAAAAAUGAAUCACACUUUGCUGCUGCUUGAGGAUCUUUAAUGGACUUCAUCAUAUCAACUGUCUCUUGGUUGUUCAUCACCUGCACACCAGAGAAAUGCAAUUGGAUAAGCUAAUUGACCAAUCAACUCGAGAAAACGUUAAAAGGAUAGAACAUAAAAGGAGGUUUCUAUGAGAAGGAAGACACAACAGAAUGAAUCAUGAGUUAUGAGCAAAUACCACCUAUCAAGUAAAAUGAACAGAAAAAUGAUAGAUAUGGGCUUUGACAUAGCAAGUGAAAUAGUGGACUACUCGAUUCAAAGAUGAUUCAAUUUAAAAUUUCACAUAAAAAAGUGAAAAAAUACUAGAAAAACAAAGAAAACCAACAUCUUACACAAUUUAGCUAUUGUUGAACAUGAUAAAUAACAUAUUAGUGGAAUUUAGAGAUGCUUACAAAGGGAUUAGCAUAGUACCAGUUCAGUGGACUGUAAGCCACCCAUCACACGUUCAUGGUCCUCUCCCAACUAUAUAAAUA